rnacentral:rRNA from 1 species
UACGAAGGGGGCUAGCGUUGCUCGGAAUCACUGGGCGUAAAGCGCACGUAGGCGGCUUUUUAAGUCAGGGGUGAAAUCCUGGAGCUCAACUCCAGAACUGCCUUUGAUACUGGGAAGCUCGAGUCCGGGAGAGGUGAGUGGAACUGCGAGUGUAGAGGUGAAAUUCGUAGAUAUUCGCAAGAACACCAGUGGCGAAGGCGGCUCACUGGCCCGGUACUGACGCUGAGGUGCGAAAGCGUGGGGAGCGAACAGG